GACGAACGCUGGCGGCGUGCUUAACACAUGCAAGUCGAACGGAAAGGCCCUGCUUUUGUGGGGUGCUCGAGUGGCGAACGGGUGAGUAACACGUGAGUAACCUGCCCUUGACUUUGGGAUAACUUCAGGAAACUGGGGCUAAUACCGGAUGGGAGCUCCUGCUGCAUGGUGGGGGUUGGAAAGUUUCGGCGGUUGGGGAUGGACUCGCGGCUUAUCAGCUUGUUGGUGGGGUAGUGGCUUACCAAGGCUUUGAGGGGUAGCCGGCCUGAGAGGGUAACCGGCGUCAUGGGUCGUGAGUGAGGCCCCAGACGCGAAUGUGGGGCAACGGGGGAAAAUAUGACAGAGGGGGGGGGAGCGAGUGACGACGGCCCCGGGUGGGGAAAACUGGGUUUGGGGGGAAAAACCUCUGCCUCCGGUAACGUGCGUAGCUUGACGGUAAUGAAUAAGAAAGCCCGGGCUAACUACGUG
rnacentral:rRNA from 1 species